GUGGUUAUAGUUUAUUUAAAACAUUAGAUUGUGAUUCUAAAAAUAAAGGUUAAAACCCUUUUAUCCACC
rnacentral:tRNA from 1 species